rnacentral:rRNA from 1 species
AUGAACGCUGGCGGCGUGCCUAAUACAUGCAAGUCGAGCGAACGGACGAGAAGCUUGCUUCUCAGAUGUUAGCGGCGGACGGGUGAGUAACACGUGGAUAACCUACCUAUAAGACUGGGAUAACUUCGGGAAACCGGAGCUAAUACCGGAUAAUAUUUUGAACCGCAUGGUUCAAAAGUGAAAGACGGUCUUGCUGUCACUUAUAGAUGGAUCCGCGCUGCAUUAGCUAGUUGGUAAGGUAACGGCUUACCAAGGCAACGAUGCAUAGCCGACCUGAGAGGGUGAUCGGCCACACUGGAACUGAGACACGGUCCAGACUCCUACGGGAGGCAGCAGUAGGGAAUCUUCCGCAAUGGGCGAAAGCCUGACGGAGCAACGCCGCGUGAGUGAUGAAGGUCUUCGGAUCGUAAAACUCUGUUAUUAGGGAAGAACAUAUGUGUAAGUAACUGUGCACAUCUUGACGGUACCUAAUCAGAAAGCCACGGCUAACUACGU